rnacentral:rRNA from 1 species
UACGUAGGGUGCGAGCGUUGUCCGGCAUUAUUGGGCGUAAAGAGCUCGUAGGCGGUCUGUCGCGUCGGUCGUGAAAACUUGGGGCUUAACCCUGAGCUUGCGGUCGAUACGGGCAUGACUGGAGUUCGGUAGGGGAGACUGGAAUUCCUGGUGUAGCGGUGAAAUGCGCAGAUAUCUGGAGGAAUACCGGUGGCGAAGGCGGCAUCCUGGACCGGCAUUGACGCUGAGGAGCGAAAGCUAGGGGAGCAAACGGG